UAAUCAAGCUCUUCAAUCAUUCUUAAUAUUCUUCUUCUGUUCUAUUUUUCACAACUUGAACCAACGGAUUUUUGCAGCAGGAAAGUCGAAUAGCACUUCUAACAAUAGAGAUAAGUGGAUCAGCAAUUGGAGAAGGGCUGAGGAGGGUCAGAUGCCAGAGUAAUAUGGAAAACUUGCAGGUCUAGAUUCGGGUUAAGAUCCGACUCAGUCAGAUCUUCUUUUCUGGGAAAUUUAGAUCUUCUUUUCUGGGAAAUUGCAAGUGAUCGGAAAGGCACCGGAAGAUGUUGCUGUUGGAUUGGCGAUGGUGGUACUUUGGUUUGAUGGCCAGACCAUAGUGUAUGGUGAGGGGCGGGAUUGCCCGCUAGGUUGCGAUGUUUCUCAAAUCUUUCUAUUUUAUGUUUGAUUUUUUUUUAAACGUUAAACAAGGUAGAAAAUUUUGGACAAAGAAUGGAGGAAAAUUUUCAAGGCACAAUGGAAGGACUGAAAGUUUGCGGAAGCUUAUGAAAAUUUGGAUUG
rnacentral:misc_RNA from 1 species